CGCCUCCUGAUUUUUUAUAGGAGGUCUAGCCUGCCCAGUGACAAAGUUAAACGGCCGCGGUACCCUAACCGUGCAAAGGUAGCGCAAUCACUUGUUCUUUAAAUGAGGACUAGUAUGAACGGCAUCACGAGGGUUAUGCUGUCUCCCUACUUUAUUCAGUGAAACUGAUCUCCCCGUGAAGAGACGGGGAUAAAAAUAUAAGACGAGAAGACCCCAUGGAGCUUUAAACUCAGUAUCAACUGCCAUAUUUAAAACCUAAUAUUUAAGCAAUUUCUGACUACUAGUUUUCGGUUGGGGUGACCACGGAGUAAAAUCUAACCUCCACGAUGAAAGGAAAUAAUAACCUAAAUUAAGAGCUACAGCUCUAAAUAUCAAUAAAUUGACUCAUUGAUCCAAUUACUUGAUCAACGAACCAAGUUACCCUGGGGAUAACAGCGCAAUCCAUUUCAAGAGCUCCUAUCGACAAAUGGGUUUACGACCUCGAUGUUGGAUCAGGGUAUCCCAGUGGCGCAGCCGCUACUAACGGUUCGUUUGUUCAACGAUUAAAACCCU
rnacentral:rRNA from 1 species